rnacentral:rRNA from 1 species
UACGGAGGGUGCAAGCGUUGUUCGGAAUUACUGGGCGUAAAGCGUGCGUAGGCGGUUAUUUAAGUCAGAUGUGAAAGCCCUGGGCUUAACCUGGGAACUGCAUUUGAUACUGGAUGACUAGAGUUGAGUAGAGGAGAGUGGAAUUUCAGGUGUAGCGGUGAAAUGCGUAGAGAUCUGAAGGAACACCAGUGGCGAAGGCGGCUCUCUGGACUCAAACUGACGCUGAGGUACGAAAGCGUGGGUAGCAAACAGG